CCGGGGAGUCAAGCUGCUCCGACCCAGCUCAACGUGCUGCAGGGGGGCUGGCUGGGGCAUGAGGGUGCUCCAGUGCAGGGCUAGCCCGCAGGCAGCCCCCGUGCUGAAACACCCUCAUGCCCGAGCCAGCUCUGUCAGCAUCUCCAGGUGUGUUGCUGCACAUUAAAUAACACCACUGCAGGACAGUACUUGUAUUUACAAGUACUAUCCUACAGCGGUGUUCAUUAGUUUACUACGCUCUAAUAGGGCCACACAUGUAGAUGCAGAGACUUUACCCCAGAGCUAAUUAGUCAGCUCGUGUAGAUGCACCCAGAAAGAGAGAGCUAAACUGAGGUAGUUUACCCCUGAUUGAAACAGGGCCAAGCUGCCAUAGUUUUGCUUUCACUUACUGGGGAGAAAUUGUGAGCAUAUAGGGACAGUUACCGCAGAGCAGCUGAGAUGCACUAACUCCUUAAGCCUAGUUGCAGGCUUAGAGGAAUUAGGAAGUCUAUGGAGCACACAUCCCCAUUCAUAGGGGCCAGGAUCCCACCUGGGGUUAUGACCCCUUGUUUGCAGACCACUGUUGUAAAGCAGAGGGGAUCCUCUCAACACCCCUUCCCUCCAGUGGAUUGCUACCUUGCUUUUAUAGACAUUUCACUUCUAAUUCCAAGAAUGGCUUAACGUUACUAGGGAAGAAAGGACAAGGAUGGAUGGGGAAAGAUAUCCCACGUGGCAGGAGAAAAGCAGAGGCAAGCCCCAAGCCAGGUCAGACUUCCUCCCAAUUCAGGGCUUUCACUGAAACUUAUCUCAGCAAAAAUGUGAUUCGGGAUCUUCCCCAACUGCUGGGUGGUGACAGUUUUUGAGCAGCACAGUGACAGUCUUCCAAGCGGGGUGCUCACCUCCUGGGGUGGUUUGCAGCAGUCCAGAGGACUUCUGAGAAAUGCUUUGUCCAGUUUAGGACUGGAUUCCUGAUUUCGUCCCACUCACGGCUGUAACUCAGAGGCAGCCCCAGUGAAAUCACAGGGACCUCCAAUACCAAGUGAGUGCAAGUGAGAGCAGAGUGCAGUCCUUUAGUAGUUUGCCCUUUGGUCUCUUUAAACCAGAGAUGUCAUACUCACCCCAGGCUCCAGGCUGGAUCUGAUCCGUGGGGUCCAUAGCGGGCAAGAUCUGCAAGCCCAAUGGAGGUAACCAUAGCAGUGCUGGCAGUGAGGCAAGCAGGCAGCGGCCCAGGUGCCCACUUCCCAUGGCAGAUGGUGCAAGCCCUGGUAGACAAAGCAGCCACAGGGCAAGCAGGGCCAUGUCAGCACAGCCCUCGCUUGCCACCCCUACCACUGAAGCCAUGUCCAUCAGGACACUAGGGGCCCAGGUUUUGUAGCAGCAUCUGCCCACUGCUAGCCAUACCUCCAAAUUUUGUGUCCCAUCAGCAGCCUGGCAGGCCACUUGGGGUGACUUCACAGGCUGGAUCUAGCCCAUGGGUUAGACAUUUGACACUCCUGCUUUAAAGUAGGGAUGGCCAGCCUGCAGCCUGCAUGCCACAAGCGGCUUGGACAGCCUCUGUGUGGCACGUGGUAGAUAGAGAAGUCACACCUCCAAGUUUCUGCCCCAGGUACUUGUGCAUCUCAGCAGAGCAAAGAAUAUUCUGGGGAAAGCAACAUAUUUCCAUUGAAAUUCCUUCCAAGCCUAGCGUCUUUCUCAUAUGCUGGUAGUGAUAGGUAUUUUAACGUCACUGAAUUAUCUAGCCAACCCCUCCCCAGUUCUUCCCUGUUCAAAGAAAAGGGCUGUUCACUGUUGUCCGGGAAGCCACAGUCUCCCAAGUCAUCACACAUUGGCUGCCAGUUCUGCCAUUAUUUGUCUGACUUGAGUAGGAACCUGACAGCCAGGAGAAGUCACGGUAUGCUUUAAAAAAAAUGAAACCAAUGGAGGGUUUGAGGAGUAGAUAUGGAAAUUGAGUUGUUGUAGAGUCUCUAAGUAGCUUGGGCCUGUAAAAGAAACUUCCUUUAAUAAAUUGAGGAGAAAAUUCCCUAUACACGCACCCCUUCCACCCCCCACCCCGAAUCCGUUUCAUUCUCAAUUAUUUUCAUUGACCGAAGGAACAUCGAAGCUCGGGCAUUUCACCCCCACCUCUGCUUUCUUCCCAGGGUAAGUAGGGUCCAGGAAGAGACAGCAAGCUCAAUUUAGCAAUCAGCAAUGUCGUUCCAGGACAGACCCAGAAGCAGCCUCAGGGCUACUAACACAGCAAGCGGUGAAAUUCUAGCAGGAGACAGAUUCUGUUGCUGCUGCCACUGCUGCUGCUAGAAAAUAUUUCUCACAGCUGGGUCUGCUGGGCUUCUUAUUUCCUAUUGAGUCAGAUGGUCUAGGUGUGCAGUUUGCUUUCUCAAGUGGAAUGGGAAUCGGUGUUUAAGGCUCUUGUGCAAAUACCUCUUAGGACUGAUGUAAAAUCCCUUUUGUUCUCCUAUUUAGAGAGGUCUCCAGACAAACUCCCAUUCUGACUUUAAAACCAGCUAUGCUUUUAUAACCAUCUCUAAUUUUCUGACAGCCAUCUCUCUAGACAAAAGGCUUCCAACACGUGCACCCCGCUUCUUCCUCUCGCUCAGUCAUGUGUGCAAAGUUCACACUGUUUUUUUAUCAUAGGGCCCUUUAAAAGCCCUUCCUGAGAAUCCCAAAUGCUUUUGAUUUGAACGAGGGGGAAGUAGCAGGGAUCUGUGAAUUUAUUCCAUUAUUCCACACUUGUCUCACGACCCACUCUUCCAUCGGCCCCUGGGCUCCAGUUCUGGUUUCCUUGUGACCAGACAGCAUCAGUCCCCUACUGUAUCCGCUUACUAAGACAAAGCCAAAAUGCAGUUCCUAAAGUGUGCAGGUGUUAGGAAGAGAAGAAAAGUGACUGUUCUUUGUGUAUUAGCUUGGGCUAAUUGUAUGGUGAGUCAGGCGGACUCAAGAAGAGAGGAAAUAACCAUAGGUGAAAGGACAAUAUAGAUUCUCAAAGGGCUUUCAGGGAAAGAAGAAUCGGUUGUCAUUGAUAUUCGACUGGAUAUGGGCACCUAUCUUAGCCCCUUUUCCAAACCUCGGCCUCUUGGCAUCUCCAGCUGCCCACCUGACUCUGUUCUCCUAUCCCAAUUUUCCACAAAUAUUUUUUGUAAUGUCCUGUUUGGGUCUCUUUAUCUAAUUGUGGGCAAUGCCUUCUCUCCCACCCCUCCCUCUAAUAACAUCAAAAGCACCAGUUAGUCAUAACAAGCCAGUAAUAUUUAAAGACAGCAGCACUGCCAUUGAAAAUUCCUCAGAGAUGGGAGCAUCUCAUUUAGUUUAGUUCCAUCAGCUAUGCUGAAAACAUGAUGCCUUUUUUUUUCUGCUCUUACUACAUUUGUUACUCCCUGUAAGCAGCAAAUGACAUAUUUUUUUUCUCUCCUUCUGCGGAGGUUUCCAGCAAAUAUAAAUCUUAAUUCAAUUGCUUCACUAGAAAAUAUUCCCAAGACAGGCUUUAGUCAUUGGGAGUAGUAUUCUUUGAAUAGUGUUACUUCAUAAAAUCCUUGGCUCUGGUCUUGUUUCCUGAGUUUAAAAGAGCAGGAGGAGGCUAUGUGAAUGACAGGCUAAAUACCAACAUCUUUUGCUUACAAUGAGUAAAAAGACACGUGGCUUUCUUUGCCUUUGAUCCCAUUACCAGGUCUAAGCCGUGGGUGCUGUACUCAUGGGGUGGACAGAGUGGAUAUUAGAUCAGGGACCUUUCUGCAUGGAUCUUAUCCUGAGAUUGGGACCUUCGUGUGUAUGUAGGGUAAAUACUUUUUUGCUUCUUGAAAUGGGUUCCAAACUCGUUUGCUUGCUGGAAUGGAUUGAUUUCAAGGAUCCAAUGUAUUUCAUAGCCUUUAGAGGGCUGUGCUAGCUCUCUUUUGCUUUUCCACUUUUAAUUACAAAGGAAAGAGCAAACUGGAUGCUUAUCUUGCUGGGAUCCUAUGACCCCAGCUGACUUCCUGCCCUUUGGGCAGGGGGCUGGACUUGAUGAUCUUCCGAGGUCCCUUCCAGUCCUAAUGUCUAUGAAAUCUAUGAAAAGGGAACAUUAUGAAGAAAAAAUGCUGGUUGUCAAGUGGGCUAGAGCAGAGCACAGCUGGAAUGUGAAGACUCCCUAUGGGAAGAAAAAUAUGAACUUUAUCCCAACAAUGGCUAGUGCUGGGCUGUUGUGCACAAAGUAGGCAUCCCUGGCAGAUGGCAAUUAGCAAUAAGAACCAGGCCAGAAAGAGCUGGGCAAAUGAUUUAUGAUGCAUUAUUGGGCGAGUUUCCCCUUUUCUUCUCUUUGUGAGUUGUUUACCAGGAGUUUAAGGUUUCCCCAAUUUAUUUGCCAAGUAAUUUCUGCGCGUAACCUUUAGCCUGGUGAUUGUUUUUGAACAAAUCCCUGAAAAUAGUCAACAUUCAGCCUGGGUUGGUUAGUUUGGAUUGCACAUAUGGCAUAUUUCUGAUGACUCUAAUUUUACAACAAUCAAGUUAGAAGCACAGAUCAUGAAUAGUAGGUCAUGUCCUCACCUGGGGUAAAUCACUGUGGCCCCACGGAGCUAUGUCUGUUUAUGCAAAUUGAUUAGCUGUCACUAAAAUUCCCUCUCCAGGAACAGUCUGGUAGUUGCUUAAAAUGCUUCAUUUCUGCAAACAUUCCUGCCAGCAGGUACCUCACCCAUUAGGAAAAAAACAAAGAGAAAAUACAGAAGGGGUAUGAGUACUUAGAAGGCAAAUUAGUAUGGGAAGUUAAGCAUUGAUGGAGAUUGUUUUGCAUUGGUUUGUACAGCUCUCAUAUCAGAACUGCAACGUCUAUUGAAUCACAGAAGUGGGAAUUAUACAAGACCUAAUAUAUUAUAGCCCAUCUUCCUAACCAUAUUGGCAACAAAGGGCACCUUUUCUCAGCACAUUCAUUUUUACCCAUCAAAAGAAUUACCCUGCCCUAAGUAUUGCCUCGCACACCUGCUGGGGCAUUUACCUUUACGGCAGCCCACACGAGUGUUAUAUUUUUCGUGCCUCACAGUUUCAGUAGUCUGAACUCCAGUGAAGAUCUAAGCCUUUGACUCAUUCCUGUCAUACCUGAAUGCUCUAAGACACCUUGUGGGCUUCUUGAUGUUUCCACCUGCUGCAUAGCCAUAUUGCAUCUUAGUCCCAAGCAUGUCCUAUCAUCCGUACCUAGCAAGUAUCUAGCCUAGAUCAGAGCUCAGCGGGAAAGUAAUGCUACCUUGUCUCAGUGGCCCUGGGACAAGGUAGCAUUUAAAGGAAAAACAAUCUCUUCUUUCUCUUUGGUGCAAUGUCCAAACACUUGGGGAGGGUGGGGGAGAGCUGUGAACUUUUUAAACCCAUAGUGCCUACCACUGAAAAUGGAACGCUGUAUUGUAUUAUAUUAUACGUGAUUACCAUGUAAAUAAAGUACAAUAAGUGUGGUGUUUGUAAGGUUUUUGAUACAAGUUUAAUGCAAUCCACAACAUUUCUUCCACUGCUAUAUAGGCUGGAAAUACCUGCCAGACCUGGGAAUAUCUAUGGUUGUGUGUGCUAGAAAUGCAUAAAAAGCAUUCAAUGAGAAAAUACUGCAUUUGGGUUUGAUUUUUUUAAAACUGUUUUGCUGUAUAUGUGAAAUACAAACACUACCUGAAUUUCUACCAGGCAGGAGGGAUGUAACCAAUUUGCUACAAAGGAGAGCAGCUCUUGAAAGUUGGUUGUGGGUAGAACAAAUAGUACUUCCCAGGCAGCCCCAUUCACAUAAUGGGAGAAAAUGAUGUUAUAGUGUGUCUGAUUUCUCUUUGAUUCUCUUCUUUCUGCUGCGGUUGAAGGGGAGAUAUGUCACACCUGUGUGCCCUCAUUAUUCUCAGUCCCUGAAAUCCUCUAGGAAUAGCUCCAGCUGACUCAGAGCUUUAUGGUAUGAGCAGACAGGAAACACACUUUCCUGGUCCAGAUUCAGCCAGCCGGUACCUCUGAGGCUCUGGAAUUUCUUUCAGAUUUUUAUGUAGGAACUCUACCCUCUACCUAGUCCCCUCCUCCUCUUUUACUCCAUGGUGCGCUGAGGGGAACCCAAGUACUAGCAUGUUGAGAUGCAAAAGCUAUGCCUCACUAAUAAGCAUGUUUGCCCAUCUUUGCACCCUCCAAAUCCUGAGAUCUCUCACUUGAAAACAUCUUGCCAUUCGUUGCAAGUUCAAGACUUCUCCGGCAAAUGUUUGGUGCCACUGUUCAAAGGAAUGAGCCCAUCCUUGGGUAAGGGUAUGAAGUCUUCAUGCAGAUUUCCCCAUCAAAGCCCAUGAGACACUUCCAUGUAGGUCAUCCUAUUAAGCGUCUCAUCUAGAUUCCCUAUGUCCAGCACAUUUCCCCAUAGCUAUGCUGUCCAUGCCAGACUGGCCAAUGGAGUUUGUUCUGGUCACAAAAAUAAGUCAGCCUUCUGUCUAGAUCAUUUCCACUUAGAAACCUAUGUAUAUGCCACCCUUGUAUACGAGUGUGCAAGAACCUCCCCACCUGGGACACUCCCACUUCUAUUUCUGAGAGCUGAAGUCACAAGCAACCCGCAGCGUCUUGCCAUGGACCCCGAGUCAAAAUGCCCCUGCUCCUGCCUUGAGCUGCAUGUUGCUAAUCCUUUCCUGUUGUGCUCAACAAGAAGGGUUCCUCCAAAAGUCCUUUGAAACUUGCUGUCUUGACUGGCUAUGGUUCUGAAGGCUUUUAGCAGCACUUCCAAAAUAAAUCAAAGCCUGGUUUGGAAACGAAAAUGUCUCACUGUACAACUGAUUAAAGAAAAGAAAAGAACAAGAAACCACAUGCUCGAUAUAUUUUGAGUACUGCAUUCAGUAUUUUUGCAGCUUAUAUUUUCCAGAUGAGCAGUUUAGAAAUAUGUGAUGUGAAAUACAUACUGUAAGUUUGCUGUAAAUGAUAUUAAAAGCACUAUUUUCAUUCUUCUUCUGCCUCCCUGGAUGAUCUCUUGAUACUCCUUUUCUUUGUCUGGCUCCAUUAUUACUGUCUCUCUCCCAGAUUGCUCGCAGGCCAAGCAGUGGGGGAAGAGUCUAAAGUCUUGGAUGUUUAAGGGCAGGAGUAGAAGUCAAGUCUCCUCAACCCAGAGGAGGACCUUCAGUUCAGCUCAUGAGAAGCAAAGCCCUCUCGCUAAGAGCAAAUCAAAGGGAUAAUGUGGGGUGAGCCCUACAAAGCAUCCAGGGAGCGUCACACCAGCACCCGCGGCUGCUCUCCUGUGGAUUUUGCUGCAGUGUUCCCCAUGUCAUCUCCACCGUGCAGAGGAGGAGGACAGUUCAGGAGCUGUUUCACAGAAGCAAGCAGGACUUGGUUCCUGGGGAAUGAUAUGAGGAGAGCUGCCCCCGUCCAACUAGAGCCACCAAACGAAUGGUCGCAUUGAAGGCUGGACAAAACCCUCUUCACUGUAUUCUGAUGAAAAAUAUCCAUCUCCAUUCAGUAUAAAUGUUGUGGAAAACUUCAGUCUCUUCGUGUUGACACCAUGCAAAAUUGUCCUUUCCAUUCAAGCCAAAUAGAAUUGACUUUAAAAAAAAACAACAUGUUUUGUUUUACGUCCUUUGUUUUGUCUGAUCCUCCGCCUGCACGGAGAAGGCGAGGGGAAGCACAAUAGUGAAAACCCGAAGACACAGCACCGUGAUUUCUCUCCCAUUUGAUUUGAAUCAAAACAUUUUUGCUUUGAAUAAAUUAAUCAAACAACUGAAACAGUGGAGGGCGGAGGGGAGGGGGAUGUUGAAAAAAACUAGAAAGCAUUUCUUCAAAUAUUCCCUUAGAAAAAAAAACACCCUCUUUUCUUUAACCUGACCUCGGAAUUACCCAUGAUUCAAGCUGGCUACCACACUAAGGCAACAGCCUGAGCUUGUUUGUAAGGUGCUCCCCAAUACUUCGGUGCCUGCAGAAGGCCAGGUCCACAGCUCUGCUUCCUAGGACCAAAAGCAACCUUUCCGUGCCUGCAGUACUCCUGUAUCGCCAUACUGGGGUGCCGGUUCCACACUUAGCACGGCAUCUGCUCGUUUUAGAUCGCUGGCACCCUGUCCUGGCCAUCCUAGCCUCUGCAUCAUGCUGUUUUCUCUACCACAGAGCUUGCUUAAUUGAGCAUUAACCAGAAUGUGUUCUGUUUUGGAUGCAGAUUAUUAACCUUUAUGUCAUCGAGAAGACAUUAUACCAGGUAAAGUUAAUGUUUUGAGACCAGAAGGUUAAUGGGUCAGCUCGUGGCCCUACCUCAUUAGCGGCCGCGUGCCGUAUGUGGGUGUGCUGUGAUACUCAUUUGAAUCAAAAAAGUCAGAUUAGUCAUAUUAGCAGCCUACGACAUACUAAAGUUGGUCUCCCUCUCUAACUUACCCUCCCUGAUGCAUUUCUGUGCUGCCCUCCCCAGCCUGUUGACAUGCUCCAACUACUGUUUGUAUCCUUGGGGUCCCCUCACUUUCCUGGCAUCUUUUUGCGGGAGGUCCCGGAGUCUUUUCUGGGUUGAAGCUGGCUGGAGUACUUCAGACGUCUACGGAGAGAGCCUCACAAUGCUUUCUGGGAUAUCUCCAACCUGAGGUGGUCCCAAAACUCAAGGGCUGUGAAUUCAGCAACAAGCCGAAGCAGAAACUCUGGGAUCCGUACAGAACUUGACAGUUUUUCUUCAAUUUAAUUAAUUGCUAUGGAGGAGAAGAGCUGGGUGAAUGCCAUGACAUGUUUGCUAGGAAUAUUCAUUGCGACAUUAAAAAAAAUGGGUUUCACCGA